rnacentral:rRNA from 1 species
GAUGAACGCUGGCGGCGUGCCUAAUACAUGCAAGUCGAGCGAACAGACGAGGAGCUUGCUCCUCUGACGUUAGCGGCGGACGGGUGAGUAACACGUGGAUAACCUACCUAUAAGACUGGGAUAACUUCGGGAAACCGGAGCUAAUACCGGAUAAUAUAUUGAACCGCAUGGUUCAAUAGUUAAAGACGGUUUUGCUGUCACUUAUAGAUGGAUCCGCGCCGCAUUAGCUAGUUGGUAAGGUAACGGCUUACCAAGGCAACGAUGCGUAGCCGACCUGAGAGGGUGAUCGGCAACACUGGAACUGAGAAACGGUCAAGACUACUACGGGAGGAAGCAGUAGGGAAUAUUCCGCAAUGGGCGAAAGCCUGACGGAGCAACGCCGCGUGAGUGAUGAAGGUCUUCGGAUCGUAAAACUCUGUUAUUAGGGAAGAACAAAUGUGUAAGUAACUAUGCACGUCUUGACGGUACCUAAUCAGAAAGCCACGGCUAACUACGUG